rnacentral:rRNA from 1 species
AGAUUGAACGCUGGCGGUCGUGCCUAACACAUGCAAGUCGAGCGGUAGCAGGGUGUAGCAAUACAUGCUGACGAGCGGCGAACGGGUGAGUAAUGCUUCGGAAUCUACCCACGGGUGGGGAAUAACCAACCGAAGGUUGGCUAAUUACCGCAUAAGUCCUACGGGGGGAAAGCGGGGGGAUCGAAAGACCUCGCGCCGGUGGAUGAGCCGAAAGCCGGAUUAGCUAGUU